rnacentral:rRNA from 1 species
AGGCAGCAGUGGGGAAUUUUGGGCAAUGGGCGAAAGCCUGACCCAGCAACGCCGCGUGAGGGAUGAAGUAUUUCGGUAUGUAAACCUCGAAAGAAUGGGAAGAAUAGAUGACGGUACCAUUUAUAAGCUCCGGCUAACUACGUGCCAGCAGCCGCGGUAAUACGUAGGGAGCAAGCGUUGUUCGGAUUUACUGGGCGUAAAGGGCGCGUAGGCGGCGCGGUAAGUCACUUGUGAAAUCUCUGAGCUUAACUCAGAACGGCCAAGUGAUACUGCUGUGCUAGAGUGCGGAAGAGGCAACCGGAAUUCUUGGUGUAGCGGUGAAAUGCGUAGAUAUCAAGAGGAACACCUGAGGCGAAGGCGGGUUGCUGGGCCGACACUGACGCUGAUGCGCGAAAGCCAGGGGAGCAAACAGGAUUAGAUACCCCGGUAG